UUCCUUGCAGUAGCACCUUAGAGACCACCUAAGUUAGUUAUAACUAACUUAAUUGGUCUCUAAGGUGCUACUGGAAGGAA